rnacentral:rRNA from 1 species
UGGGGAAUAUUGGACAAUGGGCGGAAGCCUGAUCCAGCAACGCCGCGUGAGGGAUGACGGCCUUCGGGUUGUAAACCUCUUUCAGUACCGACGAAGCGAAAGUGACGGUAGGUACAGAAGAAGGACCGGCCAACUACGUGCCAGCAGCCGCGGUAAUACGUAGGGUCCGAGCGUUGUCCGGAAUUAUUGGGCGUAAAGGGCUCGUAGGCGGUUUGUCGCGUCGGGAGUGAAAACAGCGGGCUUAACUCGUUGCUUGCUUUCGAUACGGGCAGACUAGAGGUAUGCAGGGGAGAAUGGAAUUCCUGGUGUAGCGGUGAAAUGCGCAGAUAUCAGGAGGAACACCGGUGGCGAAGGCGGUUCUCUGGGCAUUACCUGACGCUGAGGAGCGAAAGUGUGGGGAGCGAACAGGAUUAGAUACCCUGGUAGUCCACACCGUAAAACGUUGGGGCGCUAGGUGUGGGGUCCUUUCCACGGAUUCCGUGCCGUAGGCUAACGCAUUAAGCGCCCCGCCUGGGGGAGUACGGCCGCAAGGCUCAAAA